rnacentral:rRNA from 1 species
UACGAAGGUCCCAAGCGUUGUUCGGAAUCACUGGGCGUAAAGCGCGCGUAGGCGGCUACUUAAGUCGGAUGUGAAAGCCCCCUGGCUCAACUGGGGAAGUGCACCCGAAACUGAGUGGCUUGAGUGCGAAAGAGGGUCGCGGAAUUCCCGGUGUAGAGGUGAAAUUCGUAGAUAUCGGGAGGAACACCGGUGGCGAAGGCGGCGACCUGGGUCGACACUGACGCUGAGGCGCGAAAGCGUGGGAGC